rnacentral:lncRNA from 10 species
CACCUAAAACUAACAGUUGAAAGAAAAUAGAGAAGAUGCCUAUAGCCUGUGUUUACUUGCUUGGAAAGAAGAAAUUCCAGCAGCUUCAGACUUAAUAUCCUUGUUAGGUAAAAUCCAAAAAGAGAAGGUAAAUACUACCUACUUACAGUUCAGAAAAUUCUGGGCAAUGGGACACUUUGGACUAUAUGCCUAUACUCCAGGUAUGGUUCAAUGAGCAAUAAUCACACCAGGACCACAAGUAGUAGUUAUCUACUCAGCCAACACUUUCCUAAAUUUAUGCUGUACUCUCUCAACUGGUUGGCUAGCCUUCCUUGUUGUGUUCCGAACACCUAAAACCAUGCCUUGUACACAGUAAUGCCUGGUCUACAAUUAUAUGAUUGUAUACAUCAGUGGUUCUUAAAGCAUGUUCCAGAAUCUCUCAGGAUUUUUAGACACCUUCACAGGGUCCACAAUAUCAAAACUAUUUUCAUAAAAAUACAAAGUUCAAAAAGUUGAUUGACAUGGCUUCAGAGUUUGCAUUACCAGUAACUUUCGGAAACAACCAUUUAAGUUUUAGUAUAGUAUCAGGAAAAAUAUCUACAAGUAUCUAAGAAAAGUAUUAAAAUACCCUUCCCUUUUUCAACUAUAUGUCAACUAUCUACUUUAUAUUCUUUGAUCCUAAAAUUACAUAGCAAGAGAUUAAAAAUGGAUGCAUUUAUAAGAAUCCAGCUCUCUUAUAAUAGCUAGGUAUUAAAAAUUUGCAAAGAUAUAAAACAAGGCCACUCUUCUCUUUUUUAAUUAAUUUAUUUAUUAAUUUGUUUACACAAGAUCUCACUCGGUCACCCAGGCUGUAGUUCAGUGGCACAAUCACAGCUCACUACAGCCUCAUCCUCCUGGGCUUAAGCAAUCUCCCAUCUCAGCCUCCUGAGUGGCUGAGACUACAGAUAUGUGCCACUUCGAUUGGCUGUUGAUGCUUUUUUAAUUUUUUGUAGAGAUGGGGUCUUACUACAUUGCUUUUGAACUCCUGGGUUCAAACAGUUCGCUCACCUUAGCCUCCCAGGGUGCUGGGAUUGCAGGUGUGAAUCACUGCUCCUGGCUUCUAUUUCUUGUUUUGAAAAAUAUGGUUGUUAGUUAUAAAGGUGUAUUAUUUAUAUCAACAUGCCAUGGUUUUAAUUUUUUAAACUUUUCAUAAGUUUCUACAGAUAUAUUUACAAUUUUGUUUGUUACUUUUAAUACAGAAAAUAUCAGUACAUAAAACCCAUAUAAACAAAAGGUCACUGGUGUCCUCGAUAAAUUUUUAGAGUGUUCAAGAGCUUUUGACCAAAAAGUUUGUGAACCACUGCUAUAUGCACAUAAAUAUAUAAAUAUAUAUAAUAUAGUAAACCAAAUACAAUUCUGCAUGAGCAAUUGAACUGAUUUUACUAAGAGGCUAAAUUGUUGUCAGCCUGCGCUCGGCACUUUCCAACAAAGAGUCCUUCCAGAUCAGAGCAUCAAGGGUACCAAAACAAUAUUGUGUAUUUUAAAGUAUGUACAUCAGGUUUCUUCAUGAGACUGAAAGUGAAAUAUUUUCCACAAUUUU